rnacentral:rRNA from 1 species
CAGUCGCCGCGGUAAUACAGAGGAUGCAAGCGUUAUCCGGAAUGAUUGGGCGUAAAGCGUCUGUAGGUGGCUUUUCAAGUCCGCCGUCAAAUCCUAGGGCUCAACCCUGGACAGGCGGUGGAAACUACCAAGCUGGAGUACGGUAGGGGCAGAGGGAAUUUCCGGUGGAGCGGUGAAAUGCGUAGAGAUGUGGAGGAACACCAGUGGCGAAGGCGACUCUCUGGUCUGUAACUGACGCUGAGGAGCGAAAGCGUGGGGAGCGAACAGGAUUAGAUACCCCCGUAGUCCCUGUCUCUUAUAC